rnacentral:rRNA from 1 species
AGCGAACGCUGGCGGCAGGCCUAACACAUGCCAGUCGAACGAACCUUUCGGGGUUAGUGGCGGACGGGUGAGUAACACGUGGGAACGUGCCUUUAGGUUCGGAAUAACUCAGGGAAACUUGUGCUAAUACCGAAUGUGCCCUUCGGGGGAAAGAUUUAUCGCUUUUAGAGCGGCCCGCGUCUGAUUAGCUAGGUGGUUGAGGUAAUGGCUCACCAAGGCGACGAUCAGUAGCUGGUCUGAGAGGAUGAUCAGCCACAUUGGGACUGAGACACGGCCCAAACUCCUACGGGAGGCAGCAGUGGGGAAUCUUGCGCAAUGGGCGAAAGCCUGACGCAGCCAUGCCGCGUGAAUGAUGAAGGUCUUAGGAUUGUAAAAUUCUUUCACCGGGGACGAUAAUGACGGUACCCGGAGAAGAAGCCCCGGCUAACUUCGUG